rnacentral:rRNA from 1 species
AUUGAACGCUGGCGGCAGGCUUAACACAUGCAAGUCGAGCGGAGCGAGGGUGCUUGCACCUUAGCUUAGCGGCGGACGGGUGAGUAAUGCUUAGGAAUCCGCAUAUUAGUGGGGGACAACAUUCCGAAAGGGAUGCUAAUACCGCAUACGCCCUACGGGGGAAAGCAGGGGAUCUUCGGACCUUGCGUUAAUAGAUGAGCCUAAGUCGGAUUAGCUAGUUGGUGGGGUAAAGGCCUAACAAGGCGACGAUCUGUAGCGGGUCUGAGAGGAUGAUCCGCCACACUGGGACUGAGACACGGCCCAGACUCCUACGGGAGGCAGCAGUGGGGAAUAUUGGACAAUGGGGGGAACCCUGAUCCAGCCAUGCCGCGUGUGUGAAGAAGGCCUUUUGGUUGUAAAGCACUUUAAGCGAGGAGGAGGCGCUCUAGGUUAAUACCCUAGAUGCGUGGACGUUACUCGCAGAAUAAGCACCGGCUAACUACGUGCCAGCAGCCGCGGUAACAC